UUAAUGGAGAGUUUGAUCCUGGCUCAGGAUGAAUGCUGGCGGCGUGCCUAACACAUGCAAGUCGAGCGGUAACAGGUCUAGUUUACUAGAUGCUGACGAGCGGCGGACGGCUGAGUAACGCGUGGGAACAUACCCCAAAGUGAGGGAUAAGCAUCGGAAACGGUGUCUAAUACCGCAUAUGAUCUUCGGAUUAAAGGAUUUAUCCGCUUUGGGAGUGGCCUGCGUACGAUUAGAUAGUUGGUGAGGUAAAGGCUCACCAAGUCGACGAUCGUUAACUGUUCUGAGAGGAUGAUCAGUCAGACUGGAACUGAGACACGGUCCAGACUCCUACGGGAGGCAGCAGUGAGGAAUCUUCCACAAUGGGCGAAAGCCUGAUGGAGCAACGCCGCGUGCAGGAUGAAGGCCUUCGGGUUGUA
rnacentral:rRNA from 1 species